rnacentral:lncRNA from 1 species
CGUCAUUUGUGCACGGAACCGCACACGUCAAGGUAAACGAGAGAGACCGGAUAAUUCCAGGACGCUCUUUCUACGUAAAAAAGCGUAUCGAACAAGAGGCCGUCAAUGAAAUUGAGCUGGCAUUCGGAUUCCUGAGAUCAAUAUACAUAAGGAUAGCGUGUUGAACCCUUCAGAAAAAUUCAGUUGUCAGAGAACAUGUAUUUUUCUAUUUAAUAAAUCCAUGUAAUAUUCUGAA